rnacentral:rRNA from 1 species
ACCGCGAACCCGUUUUAAUAUAUGUGGCUCGUUGUGUGGGGUAACUGCACUGCGUGUCCUUCUCUCGCGUGGGCAAUGCUCACUGCGGGCAAACAAACCCCGGCGCAAAGUGCGCCAAGGAAAACUAAAAGGAGCGUUCGCCCCUAUCGCCCCGUUUGUAGGGUUCGAGGGGGGCAAAGGAUGUGCCUUGAAUGUCUAAAUGACUCUCGACAACGGAUAUCUCGGCUCUCGCAACGAUGAAGAACGUAGCGAAAUGCGAUACUUGGUGUGAAUUGCAGAAUCCCGUGAACCAUCGAGUCUUUGAACGCAAGUUGCGCCUGAAGCCUCCCGGCCGAGGGCACGUCUGCCUGGGCGUCACGCAUUACGUUGCCCCCUACCUGUUGUCAAUGGAUGGGGGGCRGAUAAUGGCCUCCCGUGUGCCUCAGCUCGCGGCCGGCUUAAAUGAAAUCACGUGGCGACCACUGUCACGACAAGCGUUGGUUGAGCAAUCCACUCUCUGCUUUUUGUGUUGGACGGUGCGCUUUGUCCUCGUAUACCCAACGGCGUGAAAUGCUUGCGCCAUUGAAUGCGACCC